rnacentral:rRNA from 1 species
GAUGAACGCUGGCGGCGUGCUUAACACAUGCAAGUCGAACGAAGCACUUUAUUUGAUUUCCUUCGGGACUGAUUAUUUUGUGACUGAGUGGCGGACGGGUGAGUAACGCGUGGGUAACCUGCCUUGUACAGGGGGAUAACAGUUGGAAACGGCUGCUAAUACCGCAUAAGCGCACAGCAUCGCAUGAUGCAGUGUGAAAAACUCCGGUGGUAUAAGAUGGACCCGCGUUGGAUUAGCUAGUUGGUGAGGUAACGGCCCACCAAGGCGACGAUCCAUAGCCGACCUGAGAGGGUGACCGGCCACAUUGGGACUGAGACACGGCCCAAACUCCUACGGGAGGCAGCAGUGGGGAAUAUUGCACAAUGGGCGAAAGCCUGAUGCAGCGACGCCGCGUGAGCGAAGAAGUAUUUCGGUAUGUAAAGCUCUAUCGGCAGGGAAGAUAAUGACGGUACCUGACUAAGAAGCACCGGCUAAAUACGUG